AAUGCCUCAAAGUUCUCUAUAUCCCUCCCAAACGUAGCAACAAUGAAAUGAGCAGAGAAAGAGGGCGAUGUGGAGUCAAAGAGGCGAGAUAAACCAUAACGGGGUCGAGGAGGGCUCGACGGGAAGGGAGUUCUCCUUCUGAGGCAGUGAGUGUGACUUCUGGCUGGUGUGUUCUCUUUCUCUAUAUGGCCUACUUCCUCUUAGAGUUUUUUUUAUUUUGUUUCAGGUAUUAUCCGCGAAGUCGUUUUGUCCCAAAACGACAAUUUCAAGAACCACUACUUCAUAUUGAGUGAUGAUGCCGUGAAACCCGUACCCUACGCUCGCGGGCGCCCCAGCGGAGAAGGUAGCAGCAGUUCUGGUUCCUCUCACCGCAAGCGCACCAAAUUUCUUCAUCAUUUCAAUGACAUGGGGAAGAUGGAUUUGAUUCUAGCUAUGAGGGAGAGGGCAAAGGUGAAUGCGAUGAAUCUGACGUAGCAAAAGUAGAUCAAAGGAUUAAAAUGGAUCUCACGGAGGAUUUAUUGCAUAUGGUUUUCUCAUUUUUGGAUACUCCCAAUCUAUGCAAAGCUACCAGGGUUUGUACAUAGUAGAGCCCCUGAUAAGCAUAAUCACGGGUGCUCCAUUUAGAUUUCUAGCUGUUUCUGAAAAUCACAAUUCUAGAUACAUCUACACGGUAUCUUUGCCAACUGAUUGAGAUUCUUUUUUUUUUAUUUGGAGGUGAAUGAUGGGUUGGAAUGAACUACAAAUUACUAAGAGUUUUAGAUUUAGAAUGUAAUGAAUGUGUUGAUUUUGGAAUGUGAUUUCUCAUUGGUAGUUAUUAUUUGUGUCUUUGCAGUGGGAGAAGUGUGAGGCUCUGUAAGUUAAGUGUUUUUGGAAUCUGUUAUUGUUGUUUGUACUUUCGUUUCUGAGCAUGAUGUUCAUAUGGUUUGUUUUAAUGUUUGUUGUUGGCCGCAGAUGGUGAGGAGUGACAGAUUUAAGAUCAGGUAACGUUGCAAAAACAGUAUCUACAUAGGACUAUGAAAAAAGAUCUCAGAAAAAUCUUCAUUGAGAUGAUUGAAAGGUGUUGACAAUGGCCCAAUAUAAGUUUAUCUCACUGAUAUCAAAUGGCACUCCCUAGGUGUUUAAUAGAAAGUUGCAGGUGCAAAUAUCUUUCACUAGAUAUCUGAGGUCACCAAAUAUCAGGAAGGUGAUGAUUUCGAGAAUUUGUAUGAUCAAAUCGUUGAAAGUAAAGAGAAGUAUGUUAUUGGACUUUGAGAAGGCUAUAUUGAGGAUGAACAAAAGGAAAAAAGCUCUGUUGAAGAAGUUGAGAAGGUGCUUGAAGAUUGAGUUUGUUGAAUUCGUUGAGGAUGAUACUACAUCUAUACAAGGGGUUAAGUGACAUGGGUCUUCAUGUCAUUUACCUACCUAAAGCUACUGAUUAGGACUUAUAUAGGGCAAUAGAUAUGGGUUGUACAAUUAGUGUGCACUUUUUUUGUAACAAUAUAAAGUCUCCUGGUUGUGUCCAUGUAAUAGGAGUUGAUAUUUGAAUUUUGGGGUGUACCUUUUGGUUGGUCUUAUUGCUUAUGUAAUGCAUCAAUUGCUUAGAUGUUUGCAUCAAUUACUAGGAUGUGGACAUUAGAUCAUUAGCCUAUAGGCAAAGUUAAGUACGUAGUUCUUUAUGUUUGUAGACUGUGUUUGUGAAAUUCAAUAAAAUGCGUAGCUCUCAUUGCUUUAUGUUA